rnacentral:lncRNA from 1 species
AGAGCAUACACUUUCUAAAUUCUCAGGGUUUAGUGAAAUUCGAGAUCUCAAUAUUAAGAGAAUGGUUAAACGGGUCAAGUCUAGGCAUUUUAACUGAAUAAUCAAUGGAACACGAAGAUAUCUUAACAAAAAUUCAAAUUCUCACGCAAUACAGUCUCACACAGUGACUAAACGACAAUUAAAGCACAAAAACAAUUAUCA